UACAGAGGGGGCAAGCGUUGUUCGGAAUUACUGGGCGUAAAGGGCGCGUAGGCGGCCUUCUAAGUCGAACGUGAAAUCCCUGGGCUCAACCCAGGAACUGCGUCCGAUACUGGGAGGCUUGAAUCCGGGAGAGGGAUGUGGAAUUCCAGGUGUAGCGGUGAAAUGCGUAGAUAUCUGGAGGAACACCGGUGGCGAAGGCGGCAUCCUGGACCGAGAUUGACGCUGAGGCGCGAAAGCCAGGGGAGCAAACGGG
rnacentral:rRNA from 1 species